CUCAGACGUGCAUGUUUGCCCCCUUUGCUUCUUUUUGGUCACAAGAACACUACUUCAAGAAACCGUUUUUGAUCCUAAACUAUCACGUCGAGCUAGGACUGCAGGACACAGCCAGACACCGUGAAACAGGACCGCACUCCAGCCCUGCAAAGACAACGUGGCCCGGGGUUAGGCACCCAGCAGGAGGAUCCAGCUUGACAUUUGAAAGGACUGAAGAUUAAAAGAAAAAAUACCUUUGUGUAAAUCAUCUUGAAUGCAUGGAUAAUUCCCAUGUACUUGUGUUCCCCUUUUACUUGGAAUGCCAGACGAACUCUAACCAUAUCAAGAGGUGAGAAGGAUGUCUGAAAUGCAAGUACAAAGUUAUACCUGCCAUGGAUCCAGCCAUCAAUCGAUGCACGUGCCCUGAAAUCCCAAGGUGCUUCUUUAUUACCUACAAAAUAUGGAACAUUUACAACAGUUUUAUAUGAGAAAAUACAGGGAAACGCAUCACAGCGUUUUACUAGCACACGAAUGCAAACUCUGCAGCUCCUACAAGUUCACAACUCUACAGAUUCAAACCAGAGCACUUAAUCACUGCUAAAUGCUUUUUGAGAAUUCAGGUUAGUACCAAUUUCUUACUAAAAACACCAAAGGACUAACAUUCCUCUAGCAAGGCAGAAUGAGUAGUUGAAGUGAUUUGUACUUCAGAAGCUUACUGAUUGCUUAUUGAGUUAUUAACUUGGUUCAACCAAGGCAAACUGAAUACUAUCUCUCUCACAUUAUAGGGUGCAAAGAACAUUGAGCAAAGUUUAUGAAUUACACAUUUGAUAAGAAAAAUUGUUCUUUCGUGCAGAGCAUGCAAAACUUACUCUAAUAAAGAAACUUUUAUGACCUCAACUGGAUUAAAAAAAAAAAAGAAGUGGGAGACUGAACAAGUAUUUGAGAACAAGAACUUCCUAAAAUACAUUGUCUUGCAAGAAAGAAACCAACUUUCAGACUUACAUCAAAUAACUUAAAAUUUUAAGAAGUGGUUAAUCUUAUGACGAAUCAUUCACAGGAUCAUUUCGAAUGUUCUUUAAGAACUGUUUUGUUGGUUUUGUUUUUACCUCUUAAACUCUCCUGCAAAGCAUCUUUAAUGUUUGUUGUUAAUCAGUAGAUAAAAGAAAGUGCUAUGAU
rnacentral:lncRNA from 7 species